CCUACGGGUGGCAGCAGUGAGGAAUAUUGGUCAAUGGGCGCGAGCCUGAACCAGCCAUGUAGCGUGAAGGAUGACUGCCCUACGGGUUGUAAACUUCUUUUAUAAAGGAAUAAAGUGAGGCACGUGUGCCUUUUUGUAUGUACUUUAUGAAUAAGGAUCGGCUAACUCCGUGCCAGCAGCCGCGGUAAUACGGAGGAUCCGCGCGUUCUCCGGAUUUAUGGGGUUUAAGGGGAGAGUAGAGGGGUUGUUAAGUCAGUGGUGAAAGUUUGCGGCUCAACCGUAAAAUUGCAAUUGAUACUGGCAGCCUUGAGUACAGUUGAGGUAGGAGGAAUUCGUGGUGUAGCGGUGAAAUGCUUAGAUAUCACGAAGAACUCCGAUUGCGAAGGCAGCUUACUAAACUGCCACUGACAUUGAUGCUCGAAAGUGUGGGUAUCAAACAGGAUUAGAUACCCUUGUAGUC
rnacentral:rRNA from 1 species